rnacentral:rRNA from 1 species
CAGGGAUUGCCCCAGUAACGGCGAGUGAAGCGGCAACAGCUCAAAUUUGAAAUCUGGCCCCUAGGGCCCGAGUUGUAAUUUGCAGAGGAUGCUUUUGGCGAGGUGCCUUCCGAGUUCCCUGGAACGGGACGCCAUAGAGGGUGAGAGCCCCGUCUGGUUGGAUGCCGAGCCUCUGUAAAGCUCCUUCGACGAGUCGAGUAGUUUGGGAAUGCUGCUCUAAAUGGGAGGUAUAUGUCUUCUAAAGCUAAAUACCGGCCAGAGACCGAUAGCGCACAAGUAGAGUGAUCGAAAGAUGAAAAGCACUUUGAAAAGAGGGUUAAAUAGUACGUGAAAUUGUUGAAAGGGAAGCGCUUAUGACCAGACUUGGACCCGGUGAAUCAUCCAGCGUUCUCGCUGGUGCACUUUGCCGGGCUCAGGCCAGCAUCAGUUUGCCUUGGGGGAUAAAGGCUUUGGGAAUGUGGCUCCCUCGGGAGUGUUAUAGCCCAUUGCACAAUACCCUGGGGCGGACUGAGGUUCGCGCAUCUGCAAGGAUGCUGGCGUAAUGGUCAUCAGCGACCCGUCUUGAAACACGGACCAAGGAGUCGUCUUCGUAUGCGAGUGUUCGGGUGUAAAACCCCUACGCGUAAUGAAAGUGAACGCAGGUGAGAGCUUCGGCGCAUCAUCGACCGAUCCUGAUGUUCUCGGAUGGAUUUGAGUAAGAGCAUACGGGGCCGGACCCGAAAGAAGGUGAACUAUGCCUGUAUAGGGUGAAGCCAGAGGAAACUCUGGUGGAGGCUCGCAGCGGUUCUGACGUGCAAAUCGAUCGUCAAAUAUGGGCAUGGGGGCGAAAGACUAAUCGAA